ensembl:miRNA
CUGGACAAAAUUAAAAUGCUCUUCUGUCAUUGUAAUAGUUCAUAUGGGUGCUGACAGGAGAGCAUUUUAAUUUUGUCAAGUAUGUCUGCU